AAUGAACGCUGGCGGCGUGCCUAACACAUGCAAGUCGGAUGUGCCGCAAGGUGCAUGGCAGACGGGUGAGUAACGCGUAGGGAAUCUACCUUUUUGUGGGAAUAACGCUCCGAAAGGAGUGGUAAUACCGCAUGAGACCGUGAGCUGGGAUGUUCACGGUGAAACCUGGGGACCGCAAGGCCUGGGGCAAAAAGAGGAUCCUGCGUCUGAUUAGCUAGUUGGCGGGGUAAUGGCCCACCAAGGCGACGAUCAGUAGCCGGCCUGAGAGGGUGAUCGGCCACACUGGAACUGAGACACGGUCCAGACUCCUACGGGAGGCAGCAGUGGGGAAUUUUGCGCAAUGGACGAAAGUCUGACGCAGCAACGCCGCGUGGGUGAUGAAGGUCUUCGGACUGUAAAACCCUGUCGUCAGGGACGAAGGUGGCAGUGUUAAUAGCGCUGUUACUUGACGGUACCUGGAGAGGAAGCCCCGGCUAACUCUGUG
rnacentral:rRNA from 1 species